rnacentral:rRNA from 1 species
AUUGAACGCUGGCGGCAGGCCUAACACAUGCAAGUCGAGCGGAUGAGAGGAGCUUGCUUCUCGAUUCAGCGGCGGACGGGUGAGUAAUGCCUAGGAAUCUGCCUGGUAGUGGGGGACAACGUUUCGAAAGGAACGCUAAUACCGCAUACGUCCUACGGGAGAAAGCAGGGGACCUUCGGGCCUUGCGCUAUCAGAUGAGCCUAGGUCGGAUUAGCUAGUUGGUGAGGUAAUGGCUGACCAAGGCGACGAUCCGUAACUGGUCUGAGAGGAUGAUCAGUCACACUGGAACUGAGACACUGUCCAGACUCCUACGGGAGGCAGCAGUGGGGAAUAUUGGACAAUGGGCGAAAGCCUGAUCCAGCCAUGCCGCGUGUGUGAAGAAGGUCUUCGGAUUGUAAAGCACUUUAAGUUGGGAGGAAGGGUUGUAGAUUAAUACUCUGCAAUUUUGACGUUACCGACAGAAUAAGCACCGGCUAACUCUGUGCCAGCAGCCGCGGUAAAAC